CCUACGGGUGGCAGCAGUAGGGAAUAUUGCUCAAUGGGGGAAACCCUGAAGCAGCAACGCCGCGUGGAGGAUGAAGGUUUUCGGAUUGUAAACCCCUGUCAUCUGGGAGCAAAUUAAAAAGAUAGUACCACAAGCGGAAGAGACGGCUAACUCUGUGCCAGCCGCCGCGGUAAGACAGAGGUCUCAAGCGUUGUUCGGAAUCACUGGGCGUAAAGCGUGCGUAGGCUGUUGCGUAAGUAGUGUGUGAAAGUCGCGGGCUCAAACCGCGGACGGCACAUGAUACUGCGAGACUAGAGUAAGGGAGGGGGAAGCGGAAUUCUCGGUGUAGCAGUGAAAUGCGUAGAUAUCGAGAGGAACACUCGUGGCGAAGGCGGGUUCCAGGACAGUAACGGACGCUGAGGCACGAAGGCCAGGGGAGCGAAAGGGAUUAGAUACCCUUGUAGUC
rnacentral:rRNA from 1 species